AUACGGAGGAUGCAAGCGUUAUCCGGAUUUAUUGGGUUUAAAGGGUGCGUAGGCGGUUUGCUAAGCGGGAGGUGAAAUGCCGGCGCUCAACGUCGGAAGUGCCUCCCGAACUGGUGGACUGGAAUGACUCUGCCGUGGGAGGAAUGUGUAGUGUAGCGGUGAAAUGCUUAGAGAUUACACAGAACACCGAUUGCGAAGGCAUCACACGAAGAGUUGAUUGACGCGGAGGCACGAAAGCGUGGAGAUCUAACAGGAAUAGAUACCCUGGUAGUCCACGCAGUAAAGGAUGAUGGCUAACCGCUGGUUUUUGCGGAUCAGUGGCCAAGCGAAAGCGAUAAGCCAUCCACCUGGGGAGUACGGCCGCAAGGUUGAAACUCAAAUGAAUGUACGGGG
rnacentral:rRNA from 1 species